rnacentral:rRNA from 1 species
AGAGUUUGAUCCUGGCUCAGGAUGAACGCUAGCGGCAGGCUUAACACAUGCAAGUCGAAGGGCAGCGUGGGAAGUGCUUGCACUUCCUGACGGCGACUGGCGCACGGGUGAGUAACACGUAUGCAACCUGCCCCCUGCAGGGGGACAACUUUCCGAAAGGAAGGCUAAUCCCGCGUAUAUUCCGGAGGGGCAUCCCACCGGGAGGAAAGAUUCAUCGGCAGGGGAUGGGCAUGCGGCGCAUUAGGCAGACGGCGGUGUAACGGACCACCGUACCGACGAUGCGUAGGGGUUCUGAGAGGAAGGUCCCCCACACUGGUACUGAGACACGGACCAGACUCCUACGGGAGGCAGCAGUGAGGAAUAUUGGUCAAUGGACGCAAGUCUGAACCAGCCAUGCCGCGUGCAGGAUGACGGCUCUAUGAGUUGUAAACUGCUUUUGUACGAGGGUAAACGCAGAUACGUGUAUCUGUCUGAAAGUAUCGUACGAAUAAGGAUCGGCUAACUCCGUGCCAGCAGCCGCGGUAAUACGGAGGAUUCAAGCGUUAUCCGGAUUUAUUGGGUUUAAAGGGUGCGUAGGCGGUUUGAUAAGUUAGAGGUGAAAUUUCGGGGCUCAACCCUGAACGUGCCUCUAAUACUGUUGAGCUAGAGAGUAGUUGCGGUAGGCGGAAUGUAUGGUGUAGCGGUGAAAUGCUUAGAGAUCAUACAGAACACCGAUUGCGAAGGCAGCUUACCAAACUAUAUCUGACGUUGAGGCACGAAAGCGUGGGGAGCAAACAGGAUUAGAUACCCUGGUAGUCCACGCAGUAAACGAUGAUAACUCGUUGUCGGCGAUACACAGUCGGUGACUAAGCGAAAGCGAUAAGUUAUCCACCUGGGGAGUACGUUCGCAAGAAUGAAACUCAAAGGAAUUGACGGGGGCCCGCACAAGCGGAGGAACAUGUG